GGCCCAGACUCCUACGGGAGGCAGCAGUGGGGAAUAUUGCACAAUGGGGGAAACCCUGAUGCAGCGACGCCGCGUGAGUGAAGAAGUAUUUCGGUAUGUAAAUCUCUAUCAGCAGGGAAGAAAAUGACGGUACCUGAUUAAGAAGCCCCGGCUAACUACGUGCCAGCAGCCGCGGUAAUACGUAGGGGGCAAGCGUUAUCCGGAUUUACUGGGUGUAAAGGGAGCGUAGACGGCAGCACAAGUCUGGAGUGAAAUGCCGGGGCUUAACCCCGGAACUGCUUUGGAAACUGUGCAGCUGGAGUGCAGGAGAGGUAAGCGGAAUUCCUAGUGUAGCGGUGAAAUGCGUAGAUAUUAGGAGGAAAACCAGUGGCGAAGGCGGCUUACUGGACUGUAACUGACGUUGAGGCUCGAAAGCGUGGGGAGCAAACAGGAUUAG
rnacentral:rRNA from 1 species